UACAGAGGUCCCAAGCGUUGUUCGGAUUCACUGGGCGUAAAGGGCGCGUAGGCGGCGCAACAAGUCACUUGUGAAAUCUCCGGGCUUAACUCGGAGCGGCCAAGUGAUACUGUCGUGCUAGAGUGCGGAAGGGGCUACUGGAAUUCUCGGUGUAGCGGUGAAAUGCGUAGAUAUCGAGAGGAACACCUGCGGCGAAGGCGGGUAGCUGGGCCGACACUGACGCUGAGGCGCGAAAGCCAGGGGAGCGAACAGG
rnacentral:rRNA from 1 species